rnacentral:rRNA from 1 species
AAAAACAUGUCUUUUUGAAUAUGAUUGAAGGUCGGGCCUGCCCAAUGAUUUCUAAAUGGCCGCAGUAUUUUGACUGUGCAAAGGUAGCAUAAUCAUUAGUUUCUUAAUUAGAAGCUGGAAUGAACGGUUUGAUGAAAGACUAGCUGUCUCUGUUUAAUUUUGUUAGAAUUUUAUUUUUGAGUAAAAAAGCUUAAAUUUGUUAGAAAGACGAGAAGACCCUAUAGAGUUUAAUAUAAUGAUUGUCUUGUUUUUGAAUGAUUUUUAAGAUUGGGCCUUUUUUGUAUUUCGUUGGGGUGAUGAAAAAAUUAGACAAACUUUUUUUUAUUUCUUACAUUAAUUUUUGGGUGGUUGAUCCUUUGAUUUGGAUUAUAAGACUAAAUUACCUUAGGGAUAACAGCGUUAUUUUUCCUGAAAGUUCUUAUUGAUGGGGAAUUUUGCGACCUCGAUGUUGGAUUAAAAUUUACCUUGGGUGUAGCAGCUUUAGAGUUAGGUCUGUUCGACCUUUAAAAUUUUACAUGAUCU